UACGGAGGGGACUAGCGUUGUUCGGAAUUACUGGGCGUAAAGCGCACGUAGGCGGAUUUGUAAGUCAGGGGUGAAAUCCCGGGGCUCAACCUCGGAACUGCCUUUGAUACUGCAAAUCUCGAGUCCGGAAGAGGUGAGUGGAAUUCCUAGUGUAGAGGUGAAAUUCGUAGAUAUUAGGAAGAACACCAGUGGCGAAGGCGGCUCACUGGUCCGGUACUGACGCUGAGGUGCGAAAGCCAAGGUAGCAAACAGG
rnacentral:rRNA from 1 species